rnacentral:lncRNA from 1 species
UUGAAAAUCUAAAACCCACAGAGUUCAAAGACCUUACUCAAAGUCAAAGAGCUAGUGGGUGGUCAAGCUUACAUUAAUUCUAGAUUUGUCUAGAUUGAUGGAUUCUGCAUUCUACCAUCUAAGAUUAAAAUUUGACUGGAAGAAUACUCUAGAUGUUCAGUCAAAAGCUAAAGGUUAAAAUUUGCAUGAAAUAACUCAUGAAUUCUAUUUCCAUUGUUUCAACUGAAAAUUAUUUGCAAAAUAAAUGUGCGUGUACAUUAUAAAUUUGAUUGGCAAUAUUGAUUUAAAACGGAGGUUAUCAAUAUUUUUUAAGUACAAGGUGUCAGAAUUGUAUUGAACUCCUAAAAGAAUAAACCCAAAAUAAGUUUUAAAAUAUGACCAAAAUUUGAUAUUAAAAUCACAGAAAAGAGUAAUAGAACCCUGGAUUGAGAAUAAAAAUGACUGUAUUCUGCCUUAGAAUGUACUCCUUUAAAUGAACAGUAAUUCCUUGAAGAAGUCUCUGUGCAUAUCUAAAUUUAAUUUUCUUCAUUGCACACUAAGCUUCUGAUAGUUGCUUUUGGGGAUCGAUGAAUCGCUUGAGAAUCUCUGAUUGGGCAAAAGGCCUAAGUGUCUAUAAGAAGCUGAGGAGCUGGAGUGGGAGCAGAAACGUCUGGCAGGGUGAAUGGAGCUGGAAGAAGUGGGAUUAAUCCAUAUGGUAAAGAAGAAAAUAUAGAUAUUUGGACCGAAGAGGUUAAAAAAGUCAAUGGAUGACACCAUUCUCUGAAGAGUCUCUCCCUAGAGGAGGAGCACACUUCUCACCAAAGUGACUUCAGGAUUGGACAUGUGACUUGCUUUAGAAAAG